GUCUAACCUGCCCACUGAAAUUUUUAAAUGGCCGCAGUAUUCUAACUGUGCAAAGGUAGCAUAAUCAUUAGUCUUUUAAUUGAAGGCUGGUAUGAAUGGUUGCAUGAAAUAUUAACUGUUUCAAUUUAAUUUUAUUUAGAACUUUAUUUUUUAGUUAAAAAGCUAAAAUUUAAUUAAAAGACGAGAAGACCCUAUAAAUCUUUAUAAUUAUAAUUUUAUUAAUAUAUAGAUAAUUUAAUUAAUAAUAAAAUUAAUUAUUUUAUUGGGGUGAUAUUAAAAUUUAAUAAACUUUUAAUUUAUAAAAACAUUAAUUAAUGAGUAAAUGAUCCAUUAUUAUGAUUAAAAAAUUAAGUUACUUUAGGGAUAACAGCGUAAUUUUUUUAGAGAGUUCAUAUUGAUAAAAAAGAUUGCGACCUCGAUGUUGGAUUAAGAUAUAGAUUUAGGUGCAGUAGUUUAAAUUUU
rnacentral:rRNA from 1 species